UGUCUCCUUAAAUUUAUGAAAUAAAAGGAGAAAAAAUACUGAAUUAAUAGAUUGACUAAUUGAACAAAAUUUAUUGAGCCCCUUUUACAUUCCAGGUACUGUGCUAAUUAUUGGAAAUAAGAAAUUCCCAUGAAGAUAAGGUUGCUGUUCUCCAGUAGCUUACAUGCCAUAGUGGAGGAGGUAGAGAUGGGCAAUAAACAAGUAAAUGAAUAACUACGCUGCUAUAAGAAAAGAGUAACUUGAAGGUCAACGGACUAAUUUGGAAAAGAUCUCCCAGGGAAGGGGUAUUGAGUGAAAAGAAGAAGCUGAUCUGGAAACCAGAGCCAAGAAGAGGAAUGAAGACAUGUAACAACCCUAAGACUAGAAUGAGCUUGGUCACAAGUUGAUGCAGAACCACCGUCAGUGGUAAAGAAGAUGUCAAUCUUAGAUAGCAAAUGCUUCAGUAAUUACAGUAUUGAGACUGUCAUGCUAAGAGACAUAUAUGUGAUCCAGACGGCUUUUCAGAACCUUCCUGAUCAUUCCUCCAGGAUGCUGCCCCCAAAUGGAGUAAAAUGCUUCCUCUUACAAACAGCAGGAAGAGUCCAGGUUUCUCAGCCCAACAUUCAAUGUCCUGUGUAAUUUUCCUCUCUCCAGUUGAUAGCUUCAGACCUUCCUCCCAUCUUCUCCUACACAGAACCUCUACUCCAAACUCUUUCUCUGUCCCAGAAGAGAAUGUGAAUUUUGGCCUCCAGGUUUUUUUUUUUAAUCGGUGAGAAUCUCACCUAAGGCAUGAAGCUCACCCUUCUCUCUGCCCAGUCUCAAGUCUUCAUGGAGCCUGCCCUGACACCCCAGCCUGCUGAGACCUUUCCUUCUCUAGUAUAGAGGCUGUAUCGCUGGCAACAUGCCUUGUUACAAAUAACUGUAUGACAUUUCUUUCAUCCGUCUCCAAAAUCUCAGUAUUCACAUACCCUUCACUAUUUUUUCCCAUAUUCACAUACUACCUGUUACGUUUUGGUCUUUAUUACUUUCUUGAAACCAAUUCCCACAUUUUUACUUACAUUUAAUUUUAUAGAAAUUUUUAGAUCAUGACCAUAAUGGAAAGUCAAUACAUACUACCUGUUAUGUUUUGGUCUUUAUUAUUUUCUUGAAGCCAAUUCCCACAUUUUUACUUACAUUUAAUUUUAUAGGAAAUUUUAGAUCAUGACCAUAAUGGAAAGCCAAUAACAUUUUACAUAAAUUGAAGAUAAUUGUAAAAUAUAACCAUUAAUAUAAAAAUGUUUGUCUAUGUAGGCCGGGCAUAGUGAUUCAUGCCUGUAAUCCCAGCCCUUUGGGAGGCCGAGGUUAGAAGUUCAAGACCAGCCUGGCCAAAUGAUGAGACCACAUCUCUACUAACACAAAAAUUAGCUGAGUGUGGUGGCAUGCACCUGUAAUUUCAGCUACUCGGGAGGCUGAGGCAUGAGAAUUGCUUGAUCCCGGGAGGCAGAAGUUGCAGUGAGCCAAGAUCACACUACUGCACUCCAGCCUGGGUGACAGAGUGAGACACUGUCUCAAAAAAAAAAAAAAAAAAAAAAAAAAGUUUGUCUAUGCCUACUACCUAAAAUUAUCUCACAUAUCUCAGUUUGGGAAAUGCUACUUUAUGUUGUCAUCUCAUAUUGCAAUUUAAGCCUUGCAUCAUGUAAGUUAUUAUGUGUGUAUAUCUAUUUCCCUGAAUAUACCAUAACUUCCUAAAGAAGGUCAUAUAUUAUACUUCACAUUCCACAGUGUUUUUAGUCCAGUGUGUUGCACUUGGUAGGCAUUAAAUAAAUAUUUGUUCAGUAAAUAAAUGUCCACAAAUGUAUCAAUAUCCCUAGUCACAGUUUGUAGUUAUACAAUCGGUAAAAUGAAAAUACUCAAACUUAAUAAGCCCAUUUAAUUAUAUAAUGAAUUUAUAUAGUAUACUAUCAUGGAUAUAAAAUAUAUUAUAAAUAAAGGAAAACAUCGCUAUUAAUAGUAACAGUGUUAAUCACAUGAGAUUCUGGAUUUUAAAAUUUUAAAGUGAUAGCUCUAGAUUUUAUGAAAGUAAUAAGCAGGAAUAGAUCCAAUAGUUAACUGAUGUGCCUUGCUUUAGACAAACCCAAUAGAUCAAAAUCCAAGCAUACAUGAAAGAUGAAUUAGGGUCAGAUAAGUUACACUGCAAAAUAAAUUUAGAGUAGAGGCCAUUUGAACAGCAAAUCCUAACAACAUUUUAAAUGCAGCUUGACUCCUAUUUCAGGAACAUAUUUAUUAGACAAAUUAAAGUGUGCAUUAUCAUAAAAAUGAACACAAGUAAACUCAGGGGGAGAUAAUAAAAAGCUAAAGAAAAAAAAUCUCAAAAAAAAUCUCAUAAAUUUUCUGAUUUGAACUGGAGGUUUGGUUAAUACUGUAUCCAAAUGCAUUUUUUUAAAAAAUAUUCUGAACUGUUAUUUCCCGAAGAUCAAAGUUUUAAUUUUCAAAAGAAAAGUUGCGAAGAAGAAUUUUUAAGACAAAGUAAAUAGAGAAACUAGUUGGGGUGGUGGGAAUUAUUCCAGAUCCCUGUGCCUUCUGUAGGAAAAAUAAAUAAAAUCUGGCAGUCAGUAGGCUUUCUGUAUCUAUGUCCUUUAACUAUUUCAAACAGAGAAAAAUAAGAAACUAAAAUCUACUGCUUCCAAAUGAUUAAAUAUCUUCCACUAAAUUUAUAAAGGUUCCUACUCAGACAAUUUUUUCACUCAUUCCCUCAAAACACCAAUAUUUCUGUAUCUUCAGGAUGAGCUCUAUACGGAUUCCAGAGGAAACAUCAACCAGAAACAGACCUGAGUGUGUGCUAGUGUAACCCAGCAUUCCACAUACCCCCAAAUAUGCAUUAUGAUAUGGUGACCUACACUCCUCCAUGGAGAAUUAUGAGAUAUCAGAGCAGGAGCAGAUCUUUAAAGGUUCCUACUAUAAUUCCUUUGAAUAUGAAAAAUGACUCCAAGGAAAAGUUAUUUUCCCAACUUACAAAGAUAAACUCAAGUCCAGUGGAGUGAAUAGAUCCACUCUUGCCUGCACCUAGCCACAGUUCAGCUUCCCAAGUACUACUCUCCCCUGGUCCACCUGCAAGGUGAGAAAGUAGAUCCAGAGAAACACCCAACCCAUUCUUUCCCUAUUCUCUGCUUCUCUCUUGAAAUCUGUCUGCAGAAAUAUGAUAUCUGAAAAUAGCUUUUAUCCUAAAGCACAAGUAUAGGGCAAAUUUCCAGAGAGUAUCUAGAAAGCCACAAAUAAAACUUGAGGAUGGGGCACGGUGGCUGCUUGAGAACUGGAGUCAUUUUGUAACCCAAGCUGGAGAUGUUUCCAGUGGCCUCCACCAUCCAGCUGCACCCCUUCAGACUGGGUUAGGUACAGGGGAAGUACUCUGCUUUACUCUGCCAUGGCAUGCCCUCCACUGAACUGUCAUCGUGAGUGGAUUCUGCAAGGGAGGCCCUGAGUCUUACCCAUCUUCUUAUCUCCAGUGCCUAGCACAAUGCCUGGUAUAGAGAAGAUCCUCAAUAAUGGCUGUUUUUAAAAAUUACUGUAUAUUAUUUAAUUUCUAUUAUUUUCCAGGUGAUACAUAUAAAUAACUUGAAAAAGUCAAAUAAUCAACAGGAUUUAUUUUAUUUCUGUUUUGUUUGUUUGGUUUUUUUUUUUAUUGAGACAGGGUCUUGCUCUGUCACAGAGGCUGGAGUGCAGUGGCGCCAUCUCAGCUCAGUGCAACCUCAAGUUUUAUUUUUAAAAGAAGUGUUAUCUUCUAUCCACCAAUCCCUCAAUUAUAUAAUACACAUAUCUAUUUCUCCGAGUUAAUCAUAUUAAACUUUUAGCUAUUUAGUUGAUUAUGUAUUUACUACUUAACUCUAUUUCUAUUUUUUUUCUUUCCAACUUUUAUUUUAGGUUCAGGGGGUACAUGUGCAGGUUUGUUACAUGGGUAAAUUGCAUGUUGCAGGGGUUUGUUGUACCGGUUAUUUAAUCACCCAGGUAAUGAGCAUAGUGCCUGAUAGGUAGUUUUUUGAUCUUCACCCUCUUCCAACCCUUCACCCUCAAAUAGGCUCUAGCGUCUAUUGUUCCCUUCUUUGUGUCCAUAUGUUCUCAAUGUUUAGCUUCUACUUAAAAGUGGGAACAUGUGGUAUUUGGUUUUCUGUUCCUGUGUUAAUUUGCUUAGGAUAAUAGACUCCAGCUCCAUCCAUGUUGCUGCAAAGGACACAAUCUCAUGUUUUUUAAGGCUGCAUCGUAUUCCAUGGUGUAUAUCCAUGUCCAUCACUGAUGGACAUUUAAGUUGAUUCUGUAUCUUUGUUGUUGUGACUAGUGCUGCGAUGAACGUGCAUGUAUAUGUGUCUUUAUGGUAGAAUGAUUUCUAUUCCUUUGGGUAUAUACCCAGUAAUGGGGUUGCAGGGUCAAAUGAUAGUUCUGUUUUAAGCUCUUUGAGAAACCUCCAAACUGCUUUCCAUAAUGGCUGAACUAAUUUACAUUCCCACCAGCAGUGUAUAAGUGUUCCCUUUUCUCUACAACCUCACAAGCAUCUGUUAUUUUUUGAUGUUUUAAUAGGAGCCAUUCUGAGUGGUGUGAGAUGGUAACACAUUGUGGUUUUGAUUUGCAUUUCUAAUGAUUAGUGUUGCUGAGCUUUUUUCACAUGCUUGCUGGCCGUAUGUAUGUCUUCUUUUGAGAAGUGUCUGUUCAUCUCCUCUGCUCAUUUUUUAAUGGCAUUGUUUGCUUUUUGCUUGCUAAUUUGUUUAAGUUCCUUAAAGAUUCUGGAUGUUAGGCCUUUGUCAGAUGCAUAAUUUGCAAAUAUUUUCUCCCAUCCUGUAGGUUGUCUGUUUACUCUGUUGAUAGUUUCUUUUGCUGUGGAGAAGCUCCUUAAUUAGUUCCCAUUUGUCAAUUUUUCCGUUGCAAUUGCUUUUGGAGUCUUGGUCAUAAAAUCUUUGUCAGGAUCUAUGUCCGGAAUAGUGUUUCCUAGGUUUUCUUCUAGGGUUUUAUAGUUUUAAGUUUUACAUUUAACUUUUUAAUCCAUCUUGAGUUGAUUUUUAUAUAUGGUGAAAUGAAGGGGUCCAGUUUCAUUCUUCUGCAUAUGGUUAGCCAGUUAUCCCAGCACCAUUUAUUGAAUAGACAGUCCUUUCUCCAUUGCCUGUUCUUGUCAACUUUGUCGAAGAUCAGAUAGUUGUAGGUGUGUGGCUUUAUUUCUGGGUUCUCUAACCUGUUCCAUUGGUUUAUUUGUUUAUUUUUGUAUCAGUACCAUGCUGUUUUGGUUAUGCAGCCUUGUCAUAUAGAUUAAAGUCAGGUAGUGUGAGGCCUCCAGCUUUAUUCUUUUUGCUUAGUAUUGCUUCAGUUAUUUGGGCUCAUACUGGUUCCAUAUGAAUUUUAAAAUAGUUUUUUCUAAUUCUGUGAAAAAUGUAAUUGGUAGUUUGAUAGGAAUAGCAUUGAAUCUGUAAACUGCUUUGGGCAGUAUAGCCAUUUUAAUGAUUGAUUCUUCCAAUCCAUAAGCAUGGAAUGUUUUUCCAUUUGUAUUUGUUGUCUCUGAUUUUUUUCAGCAGUGUUUCGUAAUUCACAUUGCAGAGAUCUUUUACCUCCCUAGACAGCUGUAUUCCUAGGUGUUUUAUUUUCUGUGUGGCUAUUGUGAAUGGCAUUGUGUUCUUGAUUUGGCUCUCAGCUUGGACAUUGCUGGUAUAUAGAAACGUUAUUGAUUUUUGUACAUUGAUUUUGUAUCCUGAAACUUGGCUGAAGUUGUUUACCAGAUCUAGGAGCUUUGGGGCACAGAGUAUGGGAUUUUCUAGGUAUAAAAUCAUAUCAUCUGGGAAGAGAAAUAGUUUGACUUCCUCUCGUCUUUUAUUUCUUUCUCUUGCUUGAUUGCUCUGGCUGAGUCUUCCAGUACUAUGAUGAAUAGGAACAAUGAGAGUGGACAUUCUUGUCUUGCUGUAGUUCUCAAGGGGAAUACUUCCAGUUUUUGCCCAUUUAGUAUGAUGUUGGCUGUGGGUCUGUCAUAGAUAGCUCUUAUUAUUUUGAAGUAUGUUCCUGUUCCUUCAAUGCCUAGUUUAUAGAGGGUGUUUUUUUUUAACAUGAAGAGAUGUUCAAUUUUAUUGGAAGCCUUUUCUGUGUCUGUAAGAUGAUCUUGUGGUUUUGUUUUUAAUUCUGCUUAUGUGAUGAAUCACAUUUAUUGAUUUGCAUAUGUUGACCCAACUUUGCAUCCCAGAAAUAAAGCCUACUUGGUCAUAGUGGAUUAGCUUUUUGACAUACGGCUAGAUUCAGUUUGCUAGUAUUUUUUUGAGAAUUUUUACAUUUAUGUUCAUCAGGGAUGUAUGCCUGAAAUUUUCUUUUUUUCUUGUGUCUCUGUAAGGUUUUUGUAACAGAAUGACACUGGCCUCAUAGAAUGGGUUAGGAAGGAGUCCCUCUUCUCAGUUUUUUGGAAUAGUUUCAUAGAAUUGGUGACAGCUCUUCUUUAUACAUCUGGUAGAAUUUGGCUAUGAAUCCAUCUAAUUCAAGGUUUUCUUCUGGUUGGUAGGCUUUUAUUACUGGUUCAAUUUUGGAACACAUUAUCAGUCUGUUCAUGGUUUCAAUUGUUUACUGGUUCAUUCCUGUAUGUUUCCAGGAAUUUAUCCAUUUCUUCUAGGUUUCUAGUUUGUGUGCCUGGAGGUGUUUGUAAUAGUUUCUGAGGGUGUUUUGUGUUUCUAUGGGAUUGGUGGUAAUGUCUCCUUUGUCUUUUUUUUUUUUUUUUUUUUUACUCUCCCUGUGUCGCCCAGCCUUGAGUACAGUGGCAGGAUCUCGGCUCACUGCAACCUUCGCCUCCUGGGUUCAAGUGAUUCUCCUGCCUCAGCCUCCCAAGUAGUUGGGAUUACAAGCAUGUACCACCACACCCAGCUAAUUUUUUAUAGUUUUAGUAGAGACAAGGUUUUGCCAUGUUGUCCAGGCUGGUCUUGAACUCCUGUCCUCAGGUGAUCCACCCACCACAGCCUCCCAAAAGUGUUGGGAUUACAGGUGUGAGUGACUAUGCCCAGCCUCCUUUGUCACUUUUGAUUGUGUUUAUAAUAAAGGUUUUUUGAUUGAAUGAAGGAAUGAUUGAAUAAACGUUAAUUUCUAAUAUCUGCCUCACAGGAUUGUUACAAGCUUAAAGCAUCUAGUAUAGACUGACAGUAGUAAGUACUGAAUAAACCUCAGCCUCUAAAACCUGGCCCCAAUCUACUGUCUCCCCAGGGCCCAUCCCCACACAAGCACCUCUUCUAUAUGUGUGUCAAACUAUACUAGUCACUUUCUCUAAUUUACUAGAUGUACUAGGUGCUGGGCAUUGUGCUAAGCGGUUUAUCUGCAUUUAUCAGCUAAUUCCCAUAACAAUUGUGGAAGCUAGGUACUGUUAUUAUUGCCAUAUUAGAUGUAAAUUCCAUGAGGACAAAUGUAUUUUUGCUUGUUUUAUUGAAUAAUUGAAUAAAUGAAUGAAUAAAUGAAUACCUAUUUCAUGAAUGCAGAAAUUGAGUCUGAAAGAGAUUCAGCCAUUUGCCCAAAGUCACACAGAUAAUAAAUGGUAAUUCAAGCCACAUUGAUUUCAAUAUCCAUGCUUUUAAUCACUUUCUCACACCCUCUCAGCUGGGAGAGUGGUGAUUAGGUGUUUAUCAGACGAGGUGCUAAUUCUUAUUUAUCCCCUAGACCUUGGUAACAAGGUAACAAAGACAAACAAACAAACAAACAACAACAAAAAACAGAGACUGUAUUUAUUCUGACUCUAAACUGUAAGAUAUUCUUUUUUCUCCUAAUAAAUCAAGGUUUAUCAACAGAAACAUUUAUUUUUAUGUCAACACCAAUUAGUCUUCCCUGUGGUUCUCAAAGCAAUAAAAUAAUUUGUUCAGGCAAACCCAGCUAAAAAGACAAAUAUUUCUCCUUUUUGUUAGAUUUUGAUUGAUUCCUAUUUUAUCUAGAUCACAGAAAUUAUGCUAAGGUAGAAAUUGUUUUUUCUAUAGCAAACUAAAGAAAAUUUGUAAUUCUGAUGUUCUUCUAAGUGAUGCUCACUAGUUGAGAAGAUAACAAAGAACUACUACAUACAAUUCCAAAUAAACCCAAGCUUACAUAACUAUUUUAAAAAGCAAACAAUUCAGGUGAAAAUACUCAUAUGCAGUCAAAUAAAUUCCUAUAGGAUGAACCAAUUUUUCCAUUAUUAAAAACUCUCAACAAACAUAUGAAAAAAAGCUAACCAUUACUAGAGAAAUGCAAAUCAAAACCACAAUGAGAUACCAUCUCACACCAUUUAGAAUGGCAAUUAUUAAAAAGUCAGAAAACAACAGAUGCUGGCGAGGAUAUGGAGAAACAGGAACACUUGUACACUGUUGGUGGGAGGGUAAAUUAGUUCAACCAUUGUGUAAGACAGUGUGGUGAUUCCUCAAAGAUCUAGAACCAGAAAUACCAUUUGAUCUGGCAAUCCCAUUACUGGGUAUAUGUCCAAAGGAUUAUAAAUCAUUCUACUAUAAGAACACAUACACAUGUAUGUUUAUUGCAACACUAUUAACAAUAGCAAAGACUUGGAACCAACCCAAAUGUCCAUCGAUGAUAGACUGGAUAAAGAAAAUGUGACACAUAUACACCAUGGAAUACUAUGCAGCUAUAAAAAAGAAUGAGUUCGUGUCCUUUGCAGGGACAUGAAUGAAGCUGGAAGCCAUCAUUCUCAGCGAACUAACACAGGAACAGAAAGCCAAACACCACAUGUUCUCAUUCAUAAAUGGGAGUUGAACAAUGAGAACACAUGGACACAGGGAGGGGAACAUCACACACCGGUCCUGUCGGGGUUGGGAGGCAAGGGGAGGGAUAGCAUUAGGAGAAAUACCUAAUGCAUGUGGGGCUGAAAACCUAGAUGAUGGGUUGAUGGGUGUAGCAAACCACCAUGGCACAUGUAUACCUAUGUAACAAACCUGCACAUUCUGCACAUGAAUCCCAGAACUUAAAGUAAAAUAAUAAAAAAAAACUCUCCAGUGUUUGCAUUAUACCCAUAAUUUCACUGUUAAUGUUGAUAUAAACACUCAGUGUUCCAUGAGCACUAUAUUGUUAAGCUGUGCUAAUAGAAAUCAAGGAACAGAGAUGUGCCCUGUAAUAUAUGAUACUGAAACCCAUGAUUCCUAUAUGUGCAAAAUUUUAUGUAAAGAAAAAAAGUAAGUAAGCCUCUCCCUAUAAAUAUUCAUUAUUAUCAACAAUCAGAUCUUAGUGACUAAAAGUGGGGUUUGCAACUAAUUAUGUCAGUGCCAAUCUUGUAUUUACAAGAUUGUAUUACACUACUUUGUAUCUCCUGG
rnacentral:lncRNA from 1 species